ensembl:misc_RNA Metazoa_SRP Metazoan signal recognition particle RNA
GCUGGGCGUAGUGGCGGACGCCUGUAAUCCCAGCGACUCGGGAGGCUGAGGCAGGAGAAUCGCUUGAACCCAGGAGGCGGAGAUUGUAGUGAGCCGAGAUCGUGCCACUGCAUUCCAGCCUGGGCGACAGAGUGAGACUCUGUCUCAA